UUUAAAAUUUUUUCUCUUAGAAUUCUGAUUUAAAUUCUAGUUAGUUGGGAUGCCUGGGUGGCUCAGAGGUUGAGCAUCUGUCUGCCUUUGGCUCAGGGCAUGAUCCUGAAGUCCAGGGAUCGAGUCCUGCAUUGGGCUCCCUGUGAGGAGCCUGGUUCUCCUUCUAGGUCUCUGCCUCUCUCUCUGUAUCUCUCGUGAAUAAAUAAAUAAAUCUUUAAAAAUAAAUAAAUAAAAUAAAUUCUAGUUAGUAAGUACAUUAACUAACAGUACAUUAUUGGUUUCAGGAGUAGAAUCCAGCAAUUCAUCUCUUAAUACAACACCCAGUGCUCUUCAUAACAAAAGUACUCAAUAUCCAUCAUCCAUGUAGCCCAUCCUCCACUGACCUCCCUCCAUCAACUCUGUUUGUUUCCUAUCUUUAAGGGUCAUUUAUGGAUUGUUUCCCUCUUUCUUUUCUCCCCCCCCAUCUGUUUAUCUUUUUUUUUUUUUUAAGAUUUUAUUUAUUUAUUCAUGAGAGACACAGAGAGAGAGAGGCAGAGACACAGGCAGAGGGAGAAGCAGGCUUCCUGCAAGGAGCCCAAUGUGGGACUCAAUCCUGGAUACCAGGAUCACGCCCUGAGCUGAAGUCAGACUCUCAACUGCUGAGCCACCUGGACUGCCCGAACUUAUGCCUUUAAAAGAGAAUUUUGCGUCACCACUGCCUGGAGUUAAAUUAACCUGUUUAGUAUUUUUUUUUUUUCCUUUAAAGAAGACUUUAUUUUUAAGUAACUUCCACACCGAAUGUAGGGCUGAAACUCACACCCCCAAGAUCAAGAGUCACUGGCUCCAACCACUGAGAUAUCCACAUGCCCCAACCUGUUAAGUAUUUUUAUUUUUAUUUAUUUUUAUUUUAUUCAUGAGAGACACAGAAAGAGAGAGAGAGAGAGAGGCAGAGACACAGGCAGAAGAAGCAGGCUCCAUGCAGGGAGCCCGACGCGGGACUCCAUCCCGGGUCUUCAGGAUUAGGCCCUGGACUGAAGGCGGCGCUAAACCGCGAGCCACCUGGGCUGCCCUGUUAAGUAUUUUCAAAGUUUAAAAGGUGUCUCAGGGGAUCCCGGGGGGGCUCAGCUGUUUGGUGCCUGCCUUUGGCCCAGGGCGUGAUCCUGGGGACCCAGGAUCAAAUCCCACAUCGGGCUCCCAGCGUGGAGCCUGCUUCUCCCUCUGCCUGCCUCUCUCUCUCUCUCUCUCAUAAAUGAAUAAAUUAAAAAAAAAAUCUUAAAAAAACAAAAAAGGUGUAUCAGUUUAGGGCACCAGGAUGGCUCAGCCUGUGCAUCCAACUCUCGGGUUUUAGUUCAGGUCAUGGUCUCAGGGUCCUCAGGUCCAGUCCUGCAAAGGGGUCCAGGCUCAGUGCAGAAUCUGCUCUGGGUCCUAUCCCUCUCCUUUUGCCUCCCCACACCCCCAUGCUUUCUCUCUCUCAAAUAAAGAAAUCUUUUUUUUUUUAAAUUUUAUUUAUUCAUGAGAGACAGACACAAACAGAGAUGCAGAGACAUAGGCAGAGGGAGAAGUAAGCUCCCCAUGGAGCAGGGAGCUGGAUGUGGACUCCAUCCCAGGACCCCAGGAUCAGGCCUAAGCCACCCAAGCAACCAAGAUAAGUAUCUUAGAGAAAACGUGUAUCACUUAAAAAAAAAAAAAAAAAAUCAUUUGGUCAUGUUCCAAUCCUGUUGAAUCCAGUGGUUAAAACAACAACAACAACAAAAAACUUUCUAUGGUAAUUGAUAAUGGUGAUUUUGGUAUUUGAUAUAGUAUAUACUGUUAAUGCUGUUUUUCAUAUUUGGCGUAGGGGGACUUGUGUCACAUCCCGUGCGUGUGCCUCAGUUUCCCAAAUUUUAUCCUGAUGGUUUCUUAUAGAUUUUGCC
rnacentral:lncRNA from 1 species